rnacentral:lncRNA from 1 species
UAUGUUUGAAGUGGUACAAUAUUAUAAUAAUUAUUAAUUUAGAUAUAUUUUUUCUUUUAUAAACAAAAAUAAUGAAUAAAAUAAAAUAAGCUUAAUUAUAAUUUUGGUACCCUUAUUUUAGCUGAAUCGCGAAAGUAGUCUCUCCAUUUUAUUUCUCUCCAAUUUUGGUUCCUCAAACAUAAAUUUGGUCCAAAACUUGAUGAAAUUUCAUUUUUUAUGCAUUUAUUUAAGUCACACAGUGCCUUAAGAUCUCGUGGUGCAACAAUUGUACCUGAAAUCUAUGAUAAAAAAUGAUGUAGUACAGCUUCAAAAAAAUGAAAUCUCAUCAAGUUUUAGACUAAAAUUUUGUUUGGGACCAAAACUGAAGAGAAACAAAAUGGAAUGACUACUUUCGCGAUUCAACUAAAAUAGGGAGACCAAAAUUACAAUUAAACAAAAUAAAAUAAAACAAAACAAAACUACACUUUUACUGAUGCGCUAGUUGCCUACAAACGUAGCAAAUAAUCAUCCGAAUGUUCACUAGAUAACUAAUCUUAUAUCAUUUAUGGGUAUUAGACAAGUGUAGCUGGUACGUACUAUUUGCCUCUAACACCAAACCCUCGCCUGUUACGCUGCCACUCAAACAUAUUCAGUCUCAAAAAGACAACAAGAGUGCCACAUGUAGAAAAGUAAAAUAUUCGCAUUCUUG